AGAACACCACAAAUCCCUUUCGUCCCUCCCACCCAUGCACAUACACAGUCCUUUAACCCUUGGAUAACAGCCCAGCUCCGGCCUCAAGCAGACAUGGACUUGGGCCUGCAGACACCGGGCUUUAACCUCCACAACAGACGCGCAAAGAUUCGCAGGCUUGGCUCCAGCCAGUGGGCAUCAGCUUCCAGACUUCCAAUUCAUCAUUGGGCCUCGAUCCUUGGCACCUAAGUAGAUCUAAAGCCGAUGAUAAAUGAAAGGGUUUUUAUACACAGACGUCACCGAAAUUGACUGACCCCUGGCUAUUCGUCCUUUCAGAGAAGACCUGACGAGGAGCACAGUAGUUCUUCCCACAUGGGCAGAGAGAACUAUCGGCUGGUUAUUUCCGACACUGUGGCAGGACAAAGAACUUCACCUAGACCGAGGAACCAUGAUCAAUUGAUGCCUUGGAUGGACCCAGGAUAAUUUCACGAGUUGGAAUCCAGAGGUCCCCUGGGAAUAAUGGCAAAUGAGACCCCCGAGGACGGCAUCAAUCAGGUGAUGACUAAAAUCGUGAGCCCUAAAAUCUUUGUGGAAAUCCUUGCAACUUACUAUGUAGUAUUUAGUGUGAUUUACUUGUGCUUUCUGUUUUAUGAUAAUAAAUUAGGCUUAAGUUACUUAUAUGCUUACUACCACGUUUCCUGGACACUCGAACUGGUUUGGGUCUCUUGGGUCUGAUCAACCCAGACCGUUACAAAGAUUGAAGGCUUCUGUUGCUUGUAAGAAAACAUCACAAUGUCUUUUUUAAGCCUUUAAAGGAAAAUUUGAUUAUGUUGAGCAAAAUGAGAGAUAUAGAUAUUUAACAGUAAAAUAAAACUGCGCCAAAGACAUCUUGUGUUUCGAUGUACGAUCAGGAGCCACUUUAUUAGGUGUAGCUAUAUACCUGCUUGUUAAUGCAAAUAUAUACAGUAAUCAGCCAAUCAUGUGGCAACAUCUCAAUGUAUAAAAGAAUCCAGGCAUAUUCAAAGGAUUCAGUUGUUGUUUAGACCAAACAUCAGAAUGGGGAAGAAAUGUGAUCAAAUGUGAGUUUGACUAUGGUGUCAAACAGGAUGGUUUGAGUAUCUUAGAAACUGCUGAUCCCCUAGGAUUUUCAUGCAUAGCAAUUUCUAGAGACUCUAGAGAAUGGUGAAAGAAACAAAAAGCAUCUAAUGAGUGGCAAUUCUGUGGGUGAAAACACCUUGUUAAUAAGAGAGGUUUGAGGAGAACGGCCAGACUAGGUCAAACUGACAGGAAGGUGACAGUAACUCAAAUAACCACAUGUUACAAUAGUGGUGUACAGAACAGCAUCUCUGAAUGCACAGUACAUCAAACUUUGGUCAAACUUCUUAACUUUCUUAAUCUGUGGUUAAGAAGGCGUACAGUCUAUUGGCCUGUAGGACCUUAGGACCCUGGUCAGACCCCACUUGGAGUACUGUGCUCAGUUCUGGUCACCUCACUACAGGAAGGAUGUGGAAGCCAUGGAAAGGGUGCAGAGGAGAUUUACAAGGAUGAUGCCUGGAUUGAGGAGCAUGCCUUAUGAGAAUAGGUUGAGUGAACUCGGCCUUUUCGCCUUGGAGCAACGGAGGAUGAGAGAUGACCUGAUAGAGGUGUAUAAGAUGAUGAGAGGCAUUGAUCGUGUGGAUAGUCAGAGGCUUUUUCCCAGGGCUGAAAUAACUAACAUGAGAGGGCAUAGUUUUAAUGUGCUCAGAAACAGGUACCGAAGGGAUGUCAGGGGUAAGUUUUUCACAGAGAGUGGUGGGUGCAUAGAUGCACUGCUGGCAGCAGUGGUGGAAGCGGGUACAAUAGGAUCUUUUAAGAGCCUCUUAGAUAGGUACAUGGAGCUUAGAAAAAUAGAGGGCUAUACGGAAGGGAAAUUCUAUGCAGUUUCUAGAGUAAGUUACACGGUUGGCACAACACUGUGGGCCAAAGGGCCUGUAAUGUGCUGUAGAUUUCUAUGUUCUAUGUUCUAUGUUUCCAAGAAGGUUCAUGAAAGUGAUUCCAGGAUUGAAUGGCUUGUCAUAUGAAAAGCAUUUGAUGGCUCUGGGCCUGUAUUCACUGUAAUUCAGAAGAAUGAGAGGUAACCUAAUUGGAACUUAUCAAAGAGUGAAAGGCCUUGAUAGAGUGGAUGUGGAGAGGAUGCUUCCUAUGAUGAGAGUGUCUAAGACCAGAGGACACAGCCUCAGAAUAGAGGGUUGUCCUUUUAGAAUAGAGAUGAAGAAGAAUUUCUUUAGCCAGAGAGUGGUGAAUCUGUAGAAUUCGCUGCUACAGGCAGCUGUGGAGAUCAAGUCUUUAUGUAUAUUUAAGGCAGAGAUUGAUAGAUUUUUGAUUGGUCAGGGCCUGAAAGCAUAGGGGGAAGGGUGGCGGGAGAUUGGGGCUGAUGUUCCAAAUAUCUCUGCUGGGGCCCCUGCAAUUUCUGCACUAACCUCCCACAGGGUCCAAGGGAACACUUUGUCAGGCCCUGGGGAUUUAUCUACCCUAAUUUGCCUCAAGAAGGCAAACACCUCCUCCUCUAAUCUGUAUCAGGUCCAUGACCUUGCUGCUACAUUGCCUCACAUCUAUAGACACUGUGUCCCUCUCCCGAUUAAAUACAGAUGCAAAAAAUCCAUUUACGAUCUCUUCCAUUUUUCAGCUCCAGGCAUAGAUUACCAGUCUUAUCUUCCAGAGGACCAAUUUUGCCCCUUGAUAUCAUUUUGCUCUUAAGAUUCUCCUUCACUUUGUCCACUAGAGAAACCUCGAGUCUUCUUUUAAUCUUCCGGAUUUCCUCUUGCAUUUCUUAUACUCCUCAAGUACCCCAUUUUUUCCUGCCUACCUAUACCUGCUUUACAUCUCCUUCUGUUUCUUAGCCAGGGCCUCAAUAUUUCUCAAAAACCAAGGUUCCUUAAACCUGUUAUCCUUGCCUUUUAUUCUGACAGGGACAUACAAACUCUGUACUCUCAAAAUUUCACUUUUGAAGGCCUCCCACCAAGUACACCUUUGCCAAAAAACAACCAGUCCCAAUUUACACUUGCCAGAUCCUUUCUGAUACCAUCAAAAUCCGCCUUUCUCCAAUUUAGAAUCUCAACCCAAGGACCAGACCUUUCCUUUAUUAUAAUUACUUUGAAACUAAAGGCAUUAUGAUCACAAGGUGCAAAGUGUUCCCUGACACAAACUUCUCCCCGCUUGCUUCUUUUAAAUUUACUCCCCCUCUAGCAAUCCGGUGUUUUAUAGAGACUGUGGUACGCAAAAUGUGCUGACUGCUCCAGUCACUUCUUUUAAAUUUUCUCUCCCACGAUGCAAUUUGGUGUCACCUUGGGACUGUGACAUGUAAAACGUGCUGACUGUCCCAGCUCGCUUCUUUUAAAUUCUACGCAAUCCAGUUUCUUGUCGGGACUAUGACAUGCAAAAUGUACCUAAUUAGGUGCCAAAUAAAGUGGCUACUGAGUGUACAUGUGAGAAAUAAAGCUGAUCUUCAUCUUGUGUUUGUUUUAAAUACUAUCAGGCAGAUGAAAGGCCAGCCAGAACUAUUGUAAAUCUUUCUUGUUCUACUUCAAUAAUUGAGCUUAAAGUUAUGUUACAUAAUACCACUAAAGAAAGGAUUAGAAAUGAUUUUGGUCAUUCAUAUGAAGGCAUUAUUCAUAUUUAAUGAUAAUCUCAUGGAACAGUUUUAACCCGAAAUGAUCUAAGCACAGUAAAAAAACAAAUUAAAGUGAACAGUUUCAUUGCUUUAAACCAUUGCCCUUAUAAUGUUUUUAGUAAGAUUAAGAAUUUUAUGCUGGUUUACACAUGAUUAUCUCUCAAUUUUCUUACAUGGUACACUAUUAUCCUGGUUGAGAGAAGACAGGCAGAAGACUCAUACUCGGCCACAGUUGUGCAAUGCCUUCAGCAUUCCUGUGGGCAAGGAAGGGAGACGGCACACACUAGAUAGACCUCUCUGAGUCAAAGACUAUCACAGUCAGAUCUAUCAACAUCCCAUCAGUGUUCGCCCCGACCACCUCCUCUCUCUGACCCCCUUCCACCAACUGCAAGAUCAGAAGGUAGGCAGGGAGAUGUGGAAAUCACACUGGUGGGAAGUGACGAAGGAGAUUAUAAAGUGAUUCUCAGUCUUCUUUUAUCUUUAUCUUCAGAGUCACAUGGAAACAUGGCAAUUCCAGAGAGAGUUGCAGCAACUUCUCCCUCCGCAAUCGAAGGAGGUGGAUAUGAGGGAGCAAGUUCAAGAGGAGCUUGUAUUCUUGUAUUUUCCUUGUAGUUUAACUUUCCUAUACCUGUUUGUAUUUUAUAUAAUUAAGUAAUUACUAUACUGUGCAAAAGUUUUAAGCACCCUUGAUUUUUUAUUUGGUUUCAGAUGGUAUGGCCUUCACAGAGACUUGAUCUCAACGUCAUCAGUGUUGUCUAGGAUUAUCCAGAGGGACAGCAGCAAGCUAGACAGCCAAAGUCUGCAGAAGAGUAGUGCCAAGUUUUCUAAAAUUCUUGGAACAACCUACCAGCCGAUUUUCUGAUAAAACUGCAUGAUACUGUACCCAAGAGAAUUGAUGCAGUUUUAAAAGCAAAAGUCUAGCUGCGGCAAGAUAGAUCACAACGCACUCCAAUGGGUGAUUGGGUUGGCUCAGCACAUCGUUGGGACUCAACCACUGGACCAGGAGACAACGUACAACCCUUGAUGCCUAUGGCACACUUGUAACAUCAAUAAAGACCGAUCCCAAUCCGGACACUAACUGUUCGAUCUCCUGCCAUCUGGUAGGAGAUGCAGAAACAUCUUAGCCAAGACAGUAAGACUGAAAAACAGCUUAUUCCCGAAGGGUGCUGUGCAGCUGAAUAAUUCUACACCCCACCCCGGUUUCCCAAUGGCCCUUGAGUGUUAUGGACUAUCAAGGUCACUAGUUGCAUGUAAAUAUGAGAUUUUUUUAAAAAAUUAAGCCAUAUUGCAUGCAUUGUAAGCAUCUGACUUGCAUGGACUGGAAUAGCACCACAAUCUUGUUGUCUUGAACAAUGACAAUAAAGUUCUAUGUUUAAGGCUUCGGAUGGAAGUGAUAAAGGGGUAAAGCGGAUUAGUCCAAGUAGAGUGGAAGAUGGGGUGAGUUGUGGGUGGGCCAAGGAUAAUGGGGGUGCAACCAGCUGAAGAUUCUGGGACCUGGAAUAACACCAGGGGUGUUGGAAGAGGUCAACAGGUUAGGCAGCAUCUAUGCAGGGUCAAUGUUUCAGGUUGAAACCCUUUAUCUAGACUGCUGAACCCCUUCUGGCCUUCAUUAAGAUUAGAAGAAGGAUCUCGGCCCUUUGUAGAUGCAGUUGACCCACUGACUUCCUCCAGCAUUUCUGGUGCUGGAGCAAAGGGAGUAUCUGUAAAAAGGACAAAGUUAUGUAGCCAUUAAAUCAACAGCUAUUUAUUCCCCUCCAUAGAUGCUGCCUGACUAACUGAGUUCCUCCAGCAUUUUGUGUGUGUUGAUCAAGAUUUCCAGCAUCUGCAGAAUCCGUUGUGUUUGAAAUUGACAGCUGAGCUCCUUUUUGUGUAAAAUGAGUUCCCAGUAUUAGUGUCAUAGAGCACCACUGCAUGAAAACAGGCCCUUCAGCCCAACUAGUCCAUGCUGAACUCCUAGUCCCAUUGACCUGCACCUGGACCAGAUCCCUCCAGAUCUUUUCCAUCCAUGUACUUAUCCAAACUUCUCUUACAUGCUGAAAUCCAACUGAAUCCAUCACCUUCGCUGGCAGCUCGUUCCAUACUCACACCACUUUUGGAUGAAGGAAAAUGUUAAGUCUGGGGAUAUGUCCAGCAGUCUUCAAUAUACAAAUGAUAGAGAAGAUAGGAGACAGGGAUUGAAGGACAACCAAGCAUUCCUAACAUAAACAGAAAGAAAAAGCAGGUUUACUGUAGAUUGAGAAUUCAGUAUUCAGCCCUACCAUUGCAACAGGCCUAGACAGAAAACGUGUCAUUUCUUUAGCUUACAGAUGUCUACUUUGGUCUAGAAUACAAUUGGCACACUUGCUUUUAUUGUCCAAGGCACAGGCUCAGGAGAUCAUGGUAGAACACUAUAAAAAGCUAUUAAUUAGGCCAUAACUAGAGUAACACACACAGUUCUGACAGGAAGUCAGUAUUGGAAUGGGUGCAGAGAAGGAUCACGGGAAUAUUGUCAGAACAGAAGGAUUAUAACUUGGAGAGAUUAACUGGGUUGUUUUCUUCGGAACAAAGGAGACAGAGAAGAUUUCAUUAAUGCGUGGGAAAUUACAGAAUGUCUUGAUAGGAUCAGAGACCAAGUCCAAGAGCAGAUGGCACAGCCUCCGAACUGAUAGAUGUCCCUUUAGAACAGAUAUAAGGAGUUUCUUUAGCCAGAAGAUUGUGAAUCUGGGGAAUUCAUUGUCAAAAAUGGCAGUGGAGGCCAAGUCACUGGGUAUAUUUAAAGCUGCGGUUGAUAUGUUGAUAGGAUGCCAAAGGGUAUGGGAAAGAGCAGGAGAAUAGGAUUGAGAAGAGUAAUGAAUCAGCCAUGGUGGGGCAGACUCGAUGGGCUGAAUAGCCUAAUUCUGCUCCAAUGGCUUAUGAGUCAAAAGAAAGAAGUCAUUGUCUUGGCAGGGACAAAUCAGGCACUGUGGCACAGUGGUGUAGACGGUAGACAGGUGGGUUCAUUUCCAACUUUGUAUAUUCUGCCUGUGACUGAGUCGGUUUCCUACUAAAGGCAUCGUUAGUCUUGCGAGACCAUGGAUUUGCCCCUGUAAAGUCUUCACUCUCCAGGGUGCAGGCCUGGGCAAGGUUGUAUGGAAGACCAGCAGUUGCCCAUGCUGCAAGUCUCCCCUUCUCCAACGACACCAAUGUUGUCCAAGGGAAGGGCAUUAGGACCCAUACAGCUUGGCACCGGUGUCGUCACACAGCAAUGUGUGAUUAAGUGCCUUGCUCAAGGACACAACACGUUGCUUCGGCUGGGGCUCGAACUCACGACCUUCAGGUCGCUAGUCUAAUGCCUUAACCACUUGGCCACGUGCCCACACGGUUUCCUACUAGUGCUCCAGUUUCACUCCACCUUCCAAAGAUUGGCACAUUGGUAGUUAAAUGGGGCAUUGUAAAUUGUUUCAUCUUUGAAAAGGUUGAGUGAACUAGAGCUUUUCCCUUUGGAGAGAAGAUGAGAAGUGACUAGAUAGAGGUGUCCAAGAGGCAUAGAUUGAGUGGAUAGCGAGAGACUUUCUACCAGGUCAGAAAUGGCUAAGACCAGGGGUCAUAAUUUUACGGUGACUGAAGGAAGGUGUAGGGGGGAUUUCAGAGGUAAAGUUUUCACACAGAGAAUGGUGGGUGCGUGGAACUCCCUGCCAAGGUGAUGGUAGAUGUAUUUAAGAAACUCUCAGAACAGCACAUGGAUUUGUGAUGGUAUUUGGAUUUCUGAUUGUUCAGUUCCAAACCUAAAUGAGGACCUUAAGCCCUAUCCUAUGGGUACCCUCACUAAAGGGAGGUUAUACUGCAACUACCCAAUCUUCAAAGAUUAGUUCACUUCCCUGUUUAAUUUUCAUGGCAAUGUAGCUGCCAAUACCCAGUACUGGAUGGUGGAUCUUCCCUCCCUACUAAGGAGAUACUUCCAGCUAACAAAGUAGUUUAAACACAGUUCAUUUAUUUUCAGUGAUACAUAUUUAAAGUUAAGCAACAUUCUUAAAACACAUUUGAAACUCAGAGGAUUUUUAUCUUAUAAAAGGCUUCCAAUUUACAUACUAUUUUUAAAACACAAAGGGCCUCCAAAACAAGGUACAAUUCCUACAAGUUAAAAUGACAGGCCCAAGGGUAGCAGACGAAGCCAUUGCUCAUUGCAGGCAUUGAAGGCUGAGGAAUGAAUUCUAAUUCACCGUGUUUUAGUCAUUCUUCUUGAACUAUACCUAAAAAACCUGAACUGCACUCUUCAUUUAGGCUGUUUCUUUGCCUCUUGUGUAACCUCACACACACAUGAUAUUUUUAAAACACUUUUUAACACAACUAAUCUAAAAGCUUUUGGAGACAGAUCACAAGUACCCAAAAUUAAUGCGAUGAAGCUGACUCUUUGAGUACAUAAACCUUCCAAUUAUUAAUAGAUCAGCUAUUUGAUGUGCUAAGUGAUAAUAUCA